rnacentral:rRNA from 1 species
GAUGAACGCUGGCGGCGUGCCUAAUACAUGCAAGUCGAGCGAACGGACGAGAAGCUUGCUUCUCUGAUGUUAGCGGCGGACGGGUGAGUAACACGUGGAUAACCUACCUAUAAGACUGGGAUAACUUCGGGAAACCGGAGCUAAUACCGGAUAAUAUUUUGAACCGCAUGGUUCAAAAGUGAAAGACGGUCUUGCUGUCACUUAUAGAUGGAUCCGCGCUGCAUUAGCUAGUUGGUAAGGUAACGGCUUACCAAGGCAACGAUGCAUAGCCGACCUGAGAGGGUGAUCGGCCACACUGGAACUGAGACACGGUCCAGACUCCUACGGGAGGCAGCAGUAGGGAAUCUUCCGCAAUGGGCGAAAGCCUGACGGAGCAACGCCGCGUGAGUGAUGAAGGUCUUCGGAUCGUAAAACUCUGUUAUUAGGGAAGAACAUAUGUGUAAGUAACUGUGCACAUCUUGACGGUACCUAAUCAGAAAGCCACGGCUAACUACGUGCCAGCAGCCGCGGUAAUACGUAGGUGGCAAGCGUUAUCCGGAAUUAUUGGGCGUAAAGCGCGCGUAGGCGGUUUUUUAAGUCUGAUGUGAAAGCCCACGGCUCAACCGUGGAGGGUCAUUGGAAACUGGAAAACUUGAGUGCAGAAGAGGAAAGUGGAAUUCCAUGUGUAGCGGUGAAAUGCGCAGAGAUAUGGAGGAACACCAGUGGCGAAGGCGACUUUCUGGUCUGUAACUGACGCUGAUGUGCGAAAGCGUGGGGAUCAAACAGGAUUAGAUACCCUGGUAGUCCACGCCGUAAACGAUGAGUGCUAAGUGUUAGGGGGUUUCCGCCCCUUAGUGCUGCAGCUAACGCAUUAAGCACUCCGCCUGGGGAGUACGACCGCAAGGUUGAAACUCAAAGGAAUUGACGGGGACCCGCACAAGCGGUGGAGCAUGUGGUUUAAUUCGAAGCAACGCGAAGAACCUUACCAAAUCUUGACAUCCUUUGACAACUCUAGAGAUAGAGCUUUCCCCUUCGGGGGACAAAGUGACAGGUGGUGCAUGGUUGUCGUCAGCUCGUGUCGUGAGAUGUUGGGUUAAGUCUCGCAACGAGCGCAACCCUUAAGCUUAGUUGCCAUCAUUAAGUUGGGCACUCUAAGUUGACUGCCGGUGACAAACCGGAGGAAGGUGGGGAUGACGUCAAAUCAUCAUGCCCCUUAUGAUUUGGGCUACACACGUGCUACAAUGGACAAUACAAAGGGCAGCGAAACCGUGAGGUCAAGCAAAUCCCAUAAAGUUGUUCUCAGUUCGGAUUGUAGUCUGCAACUCGACUACAUGAAGCUGGAAUCGCUAGUAAUCGUAGAUCAGCAUGCUACGGUGAAUACGUUCCCGGGUCU